rnacentral:rRNA from 1 species
GCUUACGGCCAUACCACCCUGAACACGCCCGAUUCGUUCUCGGAAGCUAAGCAGGGUCGGGCCUGGUUAGUACUUGGAUGGGAGACCGCCUGGGAAUACCAGGUGCUGUAAGCU